rnacentral:misc_RNA from 1 species
GAUGAAGAACGCAGCGAAAUGCGAUAAGUAAUGUGAAUUGCAGAAUUCAGUGAAUCAUCGAAUCUUUGAACGCACAUUGCGCCCCUUGGUAUUCCGAGGGGCAUGCCUGUUCGAGCGUCAUUAUAACCCCUCAAGCUCAGCUUGGUGUUGGGGCCUGCUGCACUGGCAGCCCUUAAAAUCAGUGGCGGCGCCAUCUGGCUCUAAGCGUAGUAAUUCUUCUCGCUAUGGAGUCCUGGUGGAUGCUUGCCAUCAACCCCCAAUUUUUCUAUGGUUGACCUCGGAUCAGGUAGGGAUACCCGCUGAAUUUAAGCAUAUCAAUAAGCGGAGGA